CUUGGCGACCAUAGCGCUUUGGACCCACCUGAUUCCAUGCCGAACUCAGCAGUGWAACGAAGCAGCGCCGAUGGUAGUAUGGGGUCUCCCCAUGUGAGAGUAGGACAUCGCCAGGC
rnacentral:rRNA from 1 species